rnacentral:rRNA from 1 species
AGAGUUGUAUCCUGGCUCAGAACGAACGUUGGCGGCGUGGAUUAGGCAUGCAAGUCGAGCGGGAUUAACUUGAUUCAAUCUUUCGGGAGAGAAACUUGUUAUGAGAGCGGCGAACGGGUGAGUAAUACUUGGGUAAUUUGCCCCUUUGUUCGGGAUAGCCAUCGGAAACGAUGAUUAAUACCGGAUGUGUUCGGGAGCUGCAUGGCUCCUUAUAUAAAGGCGGGGAUCUUCGGACCUGUCGCAAAGGGAUAAGCCCAAGUCCUAUCAGCUUGUUGGUGAGGUAACGGCUCACCAAGGCUUACGGGUAGCUGGUCUGAGAGGAUGGUCAGCCACACUGGGACUGAGACACUGCCCAGACUCCUACGGGAGGCUGCAGUCGAGAAUCAUUGUCAAUGCACGAAAGUGUGAACAUGCGACGCCGCGUGGAGGAAGACGGCCUUUGGGUUGUAAACUCCUGUCAGCAGGGAAGAAGGAUGGAUUUCCUAAUACGGGAUCUAUUUGACGGUACCUGCAGAGGAAGUCACGGCUAACUCUGUGCCAGCAGCCGCGGUAAUACAGAGGUGGCGAACGUUGUUCGGAUUUACUGGGCGUAAAGGGUCCGCAGGCGGUCUUGUGUGUCAGGUGUGAAAGCCAACGGCUCAACCGUUGAAUUGCACUUGAAACUGCAAGACUAGAGUACUGGAGGGGAGAAGGGAACACUUGGUGUAGCGGUGAAAUGCGUAGAUAUCAAGUGGAACACCGGCGGC